AAGAGAAGAGAAGAGAAGAGAAGAGAAGAGAAGAGAAGAGAAAAUUAUUUUUUAAAAUGCCAGCUCUUCAGUUCCUCUGUGCGUGGGAUACCUGGAGUAAUGUCCUAUGACUGAAUGCCUUAGGAUGUUGGAGGCGGUAUGACCACUUUGUUGAAGAAGAAGAAUGACAAAGAGACAUUUGGAGGGCUAGACAGUAGAGAGUUGGGUGGGAAGAGAGAAGAGCGGGUCCCACAGAGAGAGGGUAAAGCAAUGUCCACACACUGGCCAUCCUAAAACAAGCUGAGACCUCUCUCUAGGCAUCAGCUCACGCAUGUGCAGUCCAGGCUCCUCCUGAUCUGAUCUGCCAAGAGCAAAGAUGGCCUCCAAAAAUGAGUCAGAAACACCAGUACUGCCAGGGUCUGGAAAUGUAUCUAGGCUCAGCGUAAGCCAUGCAAAUCAGCACUGGCCUAACAGGCAAGCGCUCCAGUCCUGCCCAAGGUUGCCUCAGCUCUGAGCUCAUCAACCAUAGAGAAAGCUGUUUCCCACAGUUUCCUCCAAGUGGCACACAGACCCAAGACGCCUAACGCCAAUUUGCUGAAGGGAUGCUUGCACAGACCUCUGGUUCCAACCACGAGGCACCGUGAAGGCAACCACUUGGCAGGCUGGCAGUAUCUUCCAAGGGGAGCCCUUCGUGUGUUCCAAACCCUUUUACAGACACACAGAGGCCCCAAGUUUCUGCUCUGGAGUUCGUGCUACACCCUGAAGUCACUGUCAGGAAAACAAGUUUCUCCCCACCCUCUAACAGGAAGAGCGACCAGACUGAACAGGGCCUUCAUCUCAAAGAGUCUUAUCUCUCUUCCACAGCUGACUCGUUCUUUCCUCAUUCCCUCUCUGUGCGGAGCAGGAGACUGUGCUGUGCAGAACUGUGAGGCUGCUGAGGGCGGCCAGGAUUCGUGCUUCCUCGGGUAGAAAGUUUUAGACACCUGCCACUGAGAUCCAGAAGGAGGCAGAGUUCCACCCACCACUGAAGACGCUGCAAGCUCUUGAGCUCGGCUGCCAGGGACCAGCAGCAAGCACACAGAUAAGGUAAGGUGAGCUGACCCAAUGGCUUUGCCUAGAGCAGGAGUUCUCAUCCUGUGGGUCAGGAUGCACAGAGGGCUACACAACAGAUAACUACAAUACAAUUCGAAACAGUAGCAAAAUUAGUGAUGAAUGAAAUAAUUUUAUGGUUGGGAGGGGGUCACCACAGCAUGUGUAUUAAAGGGUCACAGCAUGAGGAAGGGCAAGGAAAGGCAGAGGAAGAUCAGAACUCAUUCUGGAGGGGUGAGACCAUCCAGGCCUGAACUCAGCAUAAUCCACGGCCUGUGUCUUCAUCACCUUGGCUCUGAUGUUGGCUAUCCAGCUUCCCACCAAUGCUGAUUGAUUUCUGAACCUUCCUCCAGGACAGUCAAUGAGAUACCUCUAUCCUUCUGGUAAAUUUCAUUUCACUUCAGCUAAAGUCACCUUCUACACACAGACCUAAGAACUGCAUCCACCGUGUUAACUCCCACCUCCACACAGACCCCUGUGGCCCACGAGACAACGCUUCACUCAAGCCAAGGUGUUUCAGCUGAGGAUGUAGCUCAGUGAUAGGAUGUCCAGCCUACCGCGCUUACAGAGGCAGGGAGGAGAGAUGAAGGGCUGCCUCUCUCUUUCCCUCUGUGGAGAAUCUAAUUACAAUACCUAUAACUAUCCAAAGGAUCACAGCCACCUGAGAGCCACCCAUGUGGCAAGGGCUAUAAAAGCACAACUCUGGCUCUUAAAUUGAGCAGACGCCUUGCAUUAAACGUAGACGUGUCAAAAAUAAAAAGCAAUCCCUGCUGCCCUGGACCCUCCUCUACUUCCUCACCAGCUCAGGGAAAGGUGGACUUGGGCUGAGGAAACCUAGCUUAUAGACCUUGUGGGAAGCCAUAUCCCAGGAGAUGCCCCUCCCUGCCCCACCCCACCACCUCCACAACUUAAUUCCUUGACCAAUAUGUCUCUCCAAAGUUCUGUCUUGACUUCCCGAGGAUCAAUGGUGGAUCUACCUUAACCCAGUUUAGGAAAGUCUAAUAGAGAACGCUCGUAAAGCACACCACAGCAUAAUUUUGUGCACAGAAUCGCAGUCCCUGUUCUCACACGCCAAGCUCCCUCUUCCUCGGGCUUUCCUGGCAGCCUGUUUCCUUCUUUUUCAGUCUAGGUCUCUGUUAUUAACUCUCUUCAGUCACUGCCCGGAGCCAUUGAUCUCCCCACUUCCUCCUCGCAUGAAGUCACUGUCUCUGUGAGCUCCCACAGCUUUCUAUGUGCUGGUGAUUCCCCCAACCCCUCCCCCAAAAAAAUCUGCUCCAGAACGCCAAAGAGGCCAGAGAGAUGAUGGGCUUGAGGCUGCAGUCAUCAUUCUUGCUUAAAUGGUGUGUCUUUGGAGUAGCCUUGGGUGUCUCUGGAGUGGCCUCAUGAGAAUCAGGUGGGCUACUGGAAGGGCCAAACCCCAUGAACUUUGGUUCGUGCUUUGGGCGGAUUCCUGUCGCAGACCGAUUUGCCCACUGGACAUCUCUCUCCGAUGUCCCAGAAGUUCCUACCCGUCAGUGUUGCUGAACUCAGACUCAAUUUUCCCCUAAAACCUGCUCUUCCUUCCAUGCCUUGAGCAGAAAUCUAAGCUGAUCUUUGUACAUCUUUGCACUGAACAGUCAGUGGGUCCAUCAAGCCAACUCCUGACAUCUCCUUAACCAGCUUCUACCUUUCUCCCUCUUUCAAGGACUGUAACACCUUCUCACUAUGGCCCUUUGGGUCCCUCUUCCCUAAACUCCAGUUAAUCUCUGUGCUUCAGCCUCAGUGAGCUUUGGAAACACCCAUCACCCCCAUAUCCCUAGCAUAACCCCACACCCCUAUCUAGUGCUAGCUGCUCCCCGCUGCCUCCGGAGUGGUCCAGACCUCUUUGCUGGCGCAUACAGCAAGCUCGCCUGUGCAAGCUCACGACCUGAUGGUUCACUCCCACCAGUUCUCCGCAGUCUCUCUCUGCCACUUGCAAUUCGCUCCCAAGCAGAUCUGUUACCUCCAGGCCUGACUGAGCCGUUCCGUCUCUACCCCGCCCUGGCUCCCUUUGCCACCUGGUGGAUGCCUACUUACUUUCAGAUUCUCAGGAGGCUCUGGCAGCCCCACCUCAUUUUUGUGAGGGGUGGGGGUGGGGCACUGUGUUGUUGUUGUUGUUGUUUGCAAGACAGAGUUUCACUGUGUAGCUCUGGCCAUCCUGGAACUUAAUCUAUAGACCAGGCUGGCCUAGAGCUCAGAGAACCUCCUGCCUCUGGGAUUCCAGACGAGCACCACCACCGCCUGAUGAGCCUCUCCUUCAUCAACUCCAUGGCAGUCAUAUAACACACAUACCCUGCAAGGUGUAUGUGAGGUCAUACCAGGCCUUCCCUGACUUUCACUCUCCCUUGACCCCGUGAGAGUUAACUAAUCCUGAGCACCGAAUUACCUAAUGCUUAACUGCUCUUGGAUGGUGUGCCCCACUGUCCCCUGGAAGACUGCCGAUGUGGAGUGGACACGACAUUUCCUCAUGCCUGCAUCCCUAGAGCUACUGGACCUUGCUUUCUUCAAUGCUGUACUCUUGCUAAACGAAUGCGGCGUGAGAGAAAGAUGGAGACAGGGAGAGAGAGAGCACCUUAUAAACCACACAGUGCUGUGACCAGUUUUCUUCUCCACGACUAGAGGCGUCAGAUUCUAAAUGCCAUCCGCUAGCACCUGCUCAGUGAAGACAUCUAGAGGCCCUGCCUCCCUCUAGUGCAAGACAAGGUACAGGCAUGGCUGGUGGCUCCUGGGGUACCCCAGAGCGCAUGCAGGAGAGGACACAGAUCCAUAUUAGUUACUUCUUUGCAAGCCCCUUGCUGGCCUUCAGUUCGGAGGUCAAGGAAGCGUAGGGGCCAGGAGAGGGCAUGCAGCACACCACGGCUUUAGGGCUAGGUACUCCUUCACAUGGGCAGUGCCCUCUCUCAAUCCCACACCAAACACAAGGCUUUCAUCUGUAAUCCUAGGUGAACGAGCCACAGUUUAAAACUGUUCCACGGCUCUCCCUUCCAUGAUCCCCUGAGCGCCUAUCUGAAGAAGCUCUCUUGCUUAACCCCAUGCAGUUACUUCCUAACUUACAGCCGCGACCUCCCCAGGAAGUACACAGCAGUGGGCUCUCUUACGAUGUUCAUUUACAUGAUACGAAGUCAAACAGUCAAAUAGCCAAGCUUACUAGGAGGGGAGAGAGAGAGCAGGGCAGGGGAGGGAGUGUGUGUGUGUGUGGGGGGGGGGAGAGACAGAACAGAAAAGAACAAGGAGAAAAUAUGGCCACUUAAACAUGCCUUUUCGAUCAGGAGUAAGCGUGUGCUGAGAGCCUCCAGCCAGCUGUGGUGGGGUAUCAUGAGGCAAUCACUUCACCAUACUGGGUAAUUCGGUAGCAUUUAAAUGAACUACUAUUUCAUACUACUUAUCUCCCUCCACUUGGGAGAUCAAUCUUCUUCUAUAACUAGGAUGGACUAAGAUCAAUCUAAGUAGCACAAGCCAUGUGAUGCAGGCACGGUGGUGCAAACCUAUCGUCAAGACACUUGGAAGCCUGCAGGAAGAUCACAAGUGGGAAGUCAGCUCGAACAAAGAGUAAUCUAUACUCUGAGACAGUCUGGGUGCAAGGAAAGACCCGGUCUCAGAAGGGGGCGGGGGAGCAAAUAUGCCCGCUGGACACCUGGUGUCCACUAAAGGACUUUCACGAUCAAUCUUAAUUAUAGUUGUAUUCCUCGCCUUCCCUACUGUCCCACCAAAUCCCAUUCUCCCAGGGAUAGACUCCCACUCCGGUGGCUCUGCCCUCUGGGUCUCACCCAGGGUUACAGGCUUCUGUGAGCCCGUGGAACCCACUCACGAGAACGCCGCGGCUGUCCUGCAGCACUGCCUGUGUUCACCAGCUGUUUCAGGGCAUCAGGUCUGUGUUGCUGGGGCUUUCUCUUCAUUCCUCUCUGGAGCUGGGAGGGUUUCUAUGUCUGGCUAAAAAGCUUGGGGGGAUUUAACAAAUUGCUAGCAGUUAAAAUCAAUUCAGGGCUAAAGGUGACUUGGAGAUGUGGGGGUGGGGAUGGGGGUGGGGGUGGGAGUGGGACACCUUUAAUUCCAGCACUGGGAAGGCAGAGGCAGGUGGGUCUCUGUGAGUUCAGGGCCAUCCUGAUCUACAGAGUGAGUUCCAGGACACCCAGGGCUACAGUGAAACCUUGCCUUGAAAAACAAAACAAAAAAGAGAAGAGAAGAGAAGAGAAGAGAAGAGAAGAGAAGAGAAGAGAAAGCGAAUUUUGGAUUGAAGGUGAAUUUGGUGUAUUUGUUGAAGCUCUGUUUGCAGUUGCAAGGGCUGGAAAUAAUCCAAGCAUUCCUCUGUAAGUGACUAGUGGCAUAAAUCACAGUGUUCACAUAGCAGAACAGAGUUCAGCCCCAGGGAAGGGAGCCACCUCACAGGGGCUGGUAUAGAAUGAUCUCCAGACUUCUGUGUAUGGAUCGGUAGUUCCCUGUUUGCUAGGACUACAACUGGAAUAGUAGCUGAAAUACGUCUCUUUUAUUUGUCUUAGAGAGAGGAACCGUAGGACUGCAGGCAUGGUGAGCAUCAGAGGAAGGGACCUCCUUUUCAAACUUUAUGUAAUCACAUUACCAAGUUUCUCUUUUGUGUGUGUGUGCGUGUGUGUGUGUGUGUGUGUGUGUGUGUGUGGUGUGGAUGCAUGAAUGUGUGUCCACGUUCACAUGGAUGGACACACAUGUGUACAAGUGUACAAGGCCAGAGGCGGAUGUCAGGUGUCCCCCUCAACUGCCUGUCACUUCUGCACUAAGGCAGUCUCUCUCGCUCGAUCCCAGAGCUCACUGACUCAGCGAGCUAGCAAGCCUGCUGCUGUGAUCUCAUCUCUGCAUCCCGAGUGCUGGGAUUUCAGGCCGGCCAUUAUGUCCUUAAGUGUGUACCAGGAAUCCAAACCCCAAUCCUCAGACUUGCAUGGCAAGUACUUUGUCACAGAGCCAUCUCUCCAGCCCUAUAUUAAUAUUUUAUCAUUAUCUUCUGGGCUUUGCAUUUUUCUUAAGAAAAAUCUUUCUCUCUCAUAAUUAAUAAUAUGUAUUUUUCUAAUUCUCUUUGAAGUGUGUAUGUAUGUACAGCAAUCUUUUUUGUCUCUGUUGAGAUUAUUUUGAUUUAUUUUAUACCCAUAUAAUAUAUCAUUUGAAUCUCAAACUAUGCAUGUUUAUCAACCUCCUCAAUAGGAAACUGAAAACUGAGAGUGGGGCUUAUACUAAAUUUAAAGACUACACCUAUAGGGUGCAUUUUAUAAUAUGUGAAUUAUCUUGGGUAUAAAAGAAAAGAAAAACCGUGGGCUGGUGAGAUGGAUCAGUGGGUGGAGACCUGACUUCAAUCCUCAGGCCCUAUCAAGGUGGGGGAAGGGCACUGUCCUCACGAAGUUGUCCUCUGACCCCAACACAUGCACCACCCCACAUACACAUGCCCACACCUACUCACACGCAUCGCGUACAUAAUAUUUUUUAAAAAGAAGCUAAUUUACAAGGUAAGGUUGCGUGAGUCAGAGCCUGAGAACUCCUCAAGUCUCAGGCCAGAGCUUAGCCAGGAUCCCCCAAGACUCUGUUUUCUACUCUAGCCUAGCUGUAGAGGUCAGCCCCUGCUGCACAGAGCAAGCUGCAGCCACAUGGGAAACAGCCCAUCUCAAGUCUUGCCUCAGGUUCCCUCAGAAGGCCAGGCCAACCUAGAGAAUAAGCCCUCAGCCCUUAAGACAGGCCCCAAGGCCUAGCAGGGCAUCACGGGCCGGCCAGCACACCCAGUCAGGUCAAGGAGGAGUGAGCUCUGAUGCUGGACAGAUAGUAUCUGACACCCAGAGAGAAAGCAGUGCUAGAUAUGGGGAAAAUUAAUGAGGUGAAGGGUCAGAAGGGUCCCCCGACAGGCUAACAGGCACGGGAGGCAGGCCUGGAAACGUGUUUGCAGAUAACACCACGAAUCUUGGGUUUUGAGGCUUAGCUUAUGCCCAUACCUAUGUAGUCGCAGGCAAAUUCAACUCUUGCCUUUUGUAUCAUUACCAUCACCGCCACCACCAUCAUUGUCAUCACUAUCACCACCACCACCACCACCACCGCCACCACCACCACCAUCAUCAUUUCCACUACCACCAUCAUCACCACUACCACCACCAUUCAUCAUGUUUACCAAAAGUAGAGGAACAGGUCUAGGGAAUAUAAAUAUAUACAAAACAAGUUUUAAACUGAUCACUGACAUCUCUCCAAACCUGCCUUUAAGAAGCUGAACUGUUGGUCUGUUUGCCCAUGCUCAACAGAGAAGCUGAAACCUGUCCCACCGGGACUAAGGUUCUCUUCAGCAGAAGGCCCCAGUGGAUGUUACCAGAGUCCCAGGCAGAGUCCACACAAGGUGCAGCAGGGAAACGCUUCUACAGAUUUAUUUAUUUAUUAUACAUAAGUACACUGUCUGUCCUCAGACACACCAGAAGAGGGCAUCAGAUCUCAUUUCAGAUGGUUGUGAACCACCAUGUGGUUGCACCAUGAGAUUUGAACUCAGGACCUCUGGAAGAGCAGUCAGUGCUCUUAACCGCUGAGCCAUCCCUCCAGCCCCAGGGAAACGCUUAAGGAAGGAAACAGGAAGACAGCAGGGCUGAGCCAAGUGGAAGAGAGGAAGAGGGAGGUAUUCCGGCCUCCAGGAAAGCGUGAGAAGCCGGAAGGCCUGCCACCCGUGGUUGGACAGACACCCACAGCGGGUCACUGGGUCAGGGCUAUGAUCUGAGGCAGGAGAACAGCAGAGGCCAGACUUCUCUGAAGAAGGCCCUGACCACCAGCCUAGAAGUUUGAUCCUCACCAUGGAGACAGUGGGGAGCCAUGGCAGGCUGCUAGGCAGAAGGAUGACCCCGGCCAACUGGCGUUUAAGUUAAGAUUACAGAGCAGCCCUUUAUCUGAGGCUUAGUCAAAGCCCAGUGUGGAUUUCAAGUGGUACUUAAGACACAAAGUCCUAACACUCUGGCCCUGUGUGGACCAGAAAAAGAAAGUUUAAGGAUCUCACAAAGAAUCGCUUCAUGGCGACCUCAAGCGAGGGCUGCUUUAUGGAAGGAACCAAGCCCGCCCGUGGUUCCACACGACCAGCCCCCAGCCGCAGCAUCUGGAAGAUUGCAGCACUUUCUUCACAGUUUGGAAUGUCCUCUUCAGCCAGGGCUGCUCCACCUCUCUAUUUUGGAGGUAAGUUGUUUUGUCAAAACACUCAUGUAGUGCAGGGCCGGAGGCAGCAGAAGAAAGCCAACUGAAAGCUAGAAAUGGAAGCUUCAGCUGGGACCACAUAAAGGGCCUUCUGCAGUGAGACCACUUUCCUAACAAAAUCUGCUUCUCCCAGGAGCAUUUUGAUUUUUUUUUUCCUCCUGGAGUUGCUGAACUCCAGAAACAUCCCCUGGAGCAUUUCCUUUUGGAGCAAUAAAAGUAUUUGUUACCUACCUCA